UGCCAUCUUCCUCCAGGAAUCCUGGC
rnacentral:piRNA from 1 species